GAUGAACGCUGGCGGCGUGCCUAAUACAUGCAAGUCGAGCGAACAGACGAGGAGCUUGCUCCUCUGACGUUAGCGGCGGACGGGUGAGUAACACGUGGAUAACCUACCUAUAAGACUGGGAUAACUUCGGGAAACCGGAGCUAAUACCGGAUAAUAUAUUGAACCGCAUGGUUCACUAGUGAAAGACGGUUUUGCUGUCACUUAUAGAUGGAUCAGCGCCGCAUUAGCUAGUUGGUAAGGUGACGGCUUACCAAGGCAACGAUGCGUAGCCGACCUGAGAGGGUGAUCGGCCACACUGGAACUGAGACACGGUCCAGACUCCGACGGGAGGCAGCAGUAGGGAAUCUUCCGCAAUGGGCGAAAACCUGACGGAGCAACGCCGCGUGAGUGAUGAAGGUCUUCGGCUCGUAAAACUCUGUUAUUAGGGAAGAACAAAUGUGUAAGUAACUAUGCACGUCUUGACGGUACCUAAUCAGAAAGCCACGGCUAACUACGUG
rnacentral:rRNA from 1 species